CCCUUAGAUGUCCUGGGCCGCACGCGUGCUACACUGAUACGUGCAACAAGUUUACUUCCUGGCUCGGAAGAGUUCGGGUAAUCUUUAUAAUGCGUAUCGUGAUAGGGAUAGAUCUUUGAAAUUAUGGAUCUUGAACGAGGAAUUCCUAGUAAACGCAAGUCAUCAGCUUGCAUUGAUUACGUCCCUGCCCUUUGUACACACCGCCCGUCGCACCUACCGAUUGAAUGGUCCGGUGAAAUCUCGGGACGGCGGCUUGGUCGCUUGCGUCCGACUGCUGAAACUUGAUUAAACCAUAUCAUUUAGAGGAAGGUGAAGUCGUAACA
rnacentral:rRNA from 1 species